AACGCGUUGCCGCAGGCAACGACCCGAAGGGCGAAGCGCGCAGCGCUGAGUCAUCCUUCCCCCACCACCA
rnacentral:sRNA from 3 species